UCAGGACGAACGCUGGCGGCGUGCUUAACACAUGCAAGUCGAGCGGUAAGGCCUUUCGGGGUACACGAGCGGCGAACGGGUGAGUAACACGUGGGUGAUCUGCCCUGCACUUCGGGAUAAGCCUGGGAAACUGGGUCUAAUACCGGAUAUGACCUCCUAUCGCAUGGUGGGUGGUGGAAAGAUUUAUCGGUGCAGGAUGGGCCCGCGGCCUAUCAGCUUGUUGGUGGGGUAAUGGCCUACCAAGGCGACGACGGGUAGCCGACCUGAGAGGGUGACCGGCCACACUGGGACUGAGACACGGCCCAGACUCCUACGGGAGGCAGCAGUGGGGAAUAUUGCACAAUGGGCGAAAGCCUGAUGCAGCGACGCCGCGUGAGGGAUGACGGCCUUCGGGUUGUAAACCUCUUUCAGCAGGGACGAAGCGCAAG
rnacentral:rRNA from 1 species